UACAGAGGGUGCGAGCGUUAAUCGGAAUUACUGGGCGUAAAGCGCGCGUAGGCGGCUUUGCAAGUCGGGUGUGAAAUCCCCAGGCUUAACCUGGGAACUGCAUUCGAGACUGCAUUGCUAGAGUAUGGGAGAGGGAAGUGGAAUUUCCGGUGUAGCGGUGAAAUGCGUAGAUAUCGGAAGGAACACCUGCGGCGAAGGCGGGUUGCUGGGCUGACACUGACGCUGAGGCGCGAAAGCUAGGGGAGCGAACGGG
rnacentral:rRNA from 1 species